GAUCAAUCAGCUGCAGAAAAAGAUACAGAAGACAACCAGCUGUCAAAAUAAAACAGGAAAGCAGUUUGACUAACAAACUCAAACUUGACAUAGAAAGCGUCACGAGGGAAGGCGAGGAAAAUAACACAAAAUAAACUCAGAGUUGGACUUUAACCUAGAAGUGAAGCCAUAAAUUCAAACUCCUCUUACUGGGACUGCAAAGCAGACAUCGGGCACUCAGGAGGCUGAUUUGUUUUAAGAUGAGGGGACUCACACUGCUUAUGGUGGGAAUUAUUCUGGCAGCACUGACAGAUCUGCCUUUGACAGACUUUUCAUUUGCAGAGGCUGGAUAUUUACAUAUGAGGCCAAUGGGAGGUACAAACGGGACGUCCAACUCAACAGUGCCACAAGAGGAAACCGCAGAAAAUAAAGUUGUUGCGCAGUGGAAUGGCACCAUUAGGCCAGUGGAAAGUGAUUUUGGGUUCCCUCCUACAGAGCCCCUCCAACAGAGCCCCCAGAAGGACAACAAAGGAAACACACAAAAGUGAAAACACACAGCAGAUGGUUCAACUCAACAGAGCAAACACAUCUGAAGUCCUGAAGGAGAAAUACUGCCAACAUGAAGAAGCCCAGGCCAUUUAUUCAUUCUGCUGCUGCUUAUUUUAAUUGUGAAUUCACAAAAAAAAAAGAAAAAAAAUACUGUGUGAAAAAUUCGGUUUUUUUCUAAUGUGGUUGGUGUGAAUGGUAUAGUGGUUAGCACUGUGGCCUCACAGGAAGAAGGUCCUGGGUUUGAACCUGCUGACUGGCCAUAGCUUUUUCUCUGUGUAUGUGUGGGUACUCGUGUUGCCCCACAAAGGCAUGCAGGUGUGAGUAUGAGCAUGUGUGGUCAUCUAUCACUGUGUCGCAACUAAUAUUGUGCUGCAAUGAACUAAAUGUAACAAAUCUUUACUGAUGGUCCAAUAAUAAAGCAGCAUAAAUCCAGAGGCAGGAGUAACACACUGGGAGUAAAACAAAGCUACUCUUUUUUUCUUGUCUAUACAUCAGUAGAACCAUCAAGUUUUCACUUUUCCCAGUUAUCUACAUCUCUGACUUUAGCUAAUUAGCUAGCUGGUAGUCACAGCUGUGUAAAACCCUGAGAGAAGCAGACAGCUAACUAUAGUAUUUAUGAAAAGUGGUCCAGACACUGGGGGGCAAAGUUGGUGGUAUCAUAACGACAAAUAACUUCAAUAUUAACUAAAAUGGGAAGCUUAAGUCAUGUUAAACCCUGAAAAACUUUGUCUUUUGAAAAACAUUAUUUUAAUUUAAAAAAACCCAAAAGCUUUAAUAUUUACCACAGAAAUGUGAAGGCAGUUUCUCCAGCUCCAAAGUCCAAAAUCCAAAUGAAGCCUGAAAAAAGUGUAAUGGCUGCACUUGCUCUUACUUUUCCCUUCUUUUGGGGUUCUUGCUCCCACAAUGCAUUGCAGUAGUUAAGAAAUACAGAAAAAAUAUCUGUAAAUGGCUAAUAUACUUCACAUUUAUACAGAACAUUGUUCUAUAUUUUUACAAUUUUUUUUGCAGUGUAUUUGGGUUUCAUAUGGGCUUGUUAUAAAAUCUGACUUCAUUUCAAAUUUUGCGUCAAAUUCCAUAUAUAUUAACACACAUAUAAAAUUUGGGUUUUUUCUUCUUCCUGUUAAACGGGAGUUUUUCCUUUCCACUGUCGCUAAAGCACUUGCUCACAGGGGGUCGUAUAAUUGCUGGGGUUUUCUCUGUUGUAUUAUUGUAGGGACUGCCUUACAAUAUAAAAUGCCCCGAGGCGACUGUUAUUGUGAUUUGGUGCAGUAUAAAUAAAUUAAAUAGACUUUGUUAGUUGUUGUUGUUCAAAGCAAUCUAGAGACAUUCACACAGGGCACUUUAUUUUCUGUUUUUCCUUGUCAUUGUCCUUUACAGUAAAUCUCAACUUCUUAGUGUGAGCACUUGCUGCUUCUCUUUGUGAAAUGUGACAGAAAACCAAACAACUUGGGGUUUUAUUGGUUUAAGACACAACUAUGAAAAUGUGGAACCAAAAAAGUCACAGUACUGCUUUACAUUAUACCUGCUUACACUCUAAAAAUGCAUAUGAAUACAAGAAACAAAGGAAAUGUCUUUAGGAAAACUUCUGUGAAUUAUAGUAAUUUUACAUAUGUUUGUGUGUGUGUGUGUGUGUGUGUGUGUGUGUGUGUGUGUGUAUCUAUAUCACCAAAUUAACAUCUGCCCUGUUGUUGAGAAUAAAACAGACUUUGGGCAGGUAAGCAAACAAAUCUGAACAAAUUUGAACUUUGAUGUUAAACAAGAGCUGAAGUAAAACAGCCUCCACCUACAAACACAUGCAUUAUAAAACAAGUCUAAAUGCUCACUGGAGGCUGAUUACAAAAUGAGAGGACUCACACUGCUCUGUUUGGUGGGAUUCAUUCUCACAGCUUCGUUGCAUAAAGGAAGCACAGCACCAGCAGAGAAUAAUAUUGGAUAUUUACCUGCAAGGCCAAUGGAAGGUACAAACGGGACGUCCAACUCAACAGUGCCACAAGAGGAAAGCGGUGAAAAUAAAGUUUUUGUGCAGUGGAAUGGCACCAUUAGACCAGUGGAAAGUGAUUUUGGGUUCCCUCCUACAGAGCCCCUCCAACAGAGCCCCCCGAAGGACACCAAAGGAAACACACAAAAGUAAAGACACAACAAACAGUUCAACUCACCAGAGCAAACACAUUUGAAGUCCUGGAGGAGAAAUACUGGCAUCAACGUGAAGAAGCCCCAGGCCAUUUAUUCAUUCUGCUGCUGCUUAUUUUAAUUGUAAAUUCUUUCUUUUCUUUUCUUUUUUAAACUACUGUGUGAAAACUUGAAAACUUGAACCUGCUGACUGGCCAUAGCUUUCCUCUGUGUAUGUGUGGCCCCCAGCCAUUUCUAAAUGUAUGUAUUUGGGUUUCAUAUGGGCUUGUUAUUAUAAAAUCUGACUUGAUUUUAAAUUUCGUGUCAAAUUCCAUAUAUAAACACAUUUAUAAAAUUUGGGGUUUUUGUUCCUGUUAAAAGGGAUGUUUUCCUUCCCACUGUCACUAAAGCACUUGCUCAUAGGGGAUCAUAUAAUUGUUGGGGUUUUCUCUGUUGUAUUAUUGUAAGGACUACCUUACAAUAUAAAAUACCCUGAGGCAACUGUUAUUGUGAUUUGGCGCUGCAUAAAUAAAUUAAAUAGACUUUGUUAGUUGUUUUUUCUUUAAACUGCCUAUUCGUCAACUACCCCUUACAAAGCACACAGUGUCUUGUCGGUCCUUUUUAACACCAGUUAAAUAAUAGCAAUAAUAAUGUAAAUAAUAAUAAAAUGAUAAUGUGAUUUAUUUAAUUUAUAUUUAAAAUUAACAAUUGAAAUAUUUUAAAAAUCACAAAUAAAAUGACCCUUUUCCUUUAGCCGUAACACUUAAGAGCCAGCAGGCAUUAAAUAGUCAUAAUAGAUUCACUGCUGUGAAAGUAACAAAUUGUAUAGAUGUUUGUGUUAAAAUUCAAAGCAAUCUAGAGACAUUCACACAGGGCACUUUAUUUUGUGUUUUUCCUUGUCAUUGUCCUUUACAGUAAAUCUCAACUUCUUAGUGUGAGCAGUGCUUCUUUGUGAAAUAUGACAGAAAACCAAACAACUUGGGGUUUUAUUGAUUUAAGACACAACUAUGAAAAUGUGGAACCAAUAAAAUCACAGUACUGCUUUACAUCGCAAAUACCUGCUUACACUCUAAAAAUGGAUAUGAAUACAAGAAAAUCUACUGUUUUCAAAUGAAGGUAAAUUUGAAAACAGUACAUUGCUGUCCGUCCGUCCGUCCGUGUAUAUAUGACUCAAUGCCCCGCACCUGGAUCCUGGAAUGCAUAGAAAUGUACUGCAUAGUUCUGCAUAGGGCUGAACCCCCUCAGUGAGAUCAUCAACAAGACUGGCUAUGGAUGCCGACUACAGAGUGGAGCAGUUGUCAGCCACUUCCUGUACAUGGAUGACAUCAGGCUGUAUGCCAAGAGUGAAUGAGACUGAUCCACACCACCAGUAUAUACAGCAAUGACAUCGGAAUGUCGUUUGACUGGAGAAAUGUAGUUGGAUGAUAACAAAGAGAGGGAAGGUAGUCAGAACUGAGGGGAUCGAACAACCAGAAUGCAACAUUGCAGGCACAGAGGACAGCCACAAUUACCUGGGGAUCCCAGCAGGUACAUGGGAACCAUGAAGAGGUCUGUAGAAAAGUACCUGCAGAGGGUCAGGCAAGUCCUGAGGAGUCAACAGAAUGGGAAGAACAAGAUCCGGGCUAUCAACACCUACCCCCUGCCCGUGAUCAGGUACCCUUCUGGGAUAAUAAGCUGACCAAAGAAGGAGAUAGAAGCCACUGACAUCAAGACAAGGAACUCCUGACCGUGCAUGGAGAGUUUCACCCCAAGUCCAGCACCCUGAGGCUGUACGCUAAACGGAAGGAAGAAGGCCAACGGACAUCGAUGAAUGCAUCUUCCUGAUGCAUUCGUGGAUGUCUGUUGGCCCCAACUGACCGCGUGCUCAGUGAAUACCUCAGGCAACAGAAACAUGAGGAAGAGGAGGAACCAUCAUGGAAGGAUGGUACGGCACGGUAUGUACCACAGGCAGAUAGAGGAAGUGGCUGGCAUCCAGAAAUCCUACCAGUGGCUGGACAAAGCUGGACUGAAAGACGGCACAGAGGCACUAAUCAUGGCAGCACAGGAACAAGCUCUGAGCACAAGAUCCAUAGAGGCUGGGGUCUAUCACACCAGGCAAGACCCCAGGUGCAGGCUGUGCAAAGAUGCCCCUGAGACAAUCCAGCCCAUAACAGCAGGGUGUAAGAUGCUAGCAGGCAGGGCAUACAUGGAACGCCAUAACCAAGUGGCCGGCAUACAGAAACAUCUGUGCCGACUAUGGCCUGGAAGUCCCGAAGUCAAAAUGGGACUUCCUUAUAAUAGAAAAGUCUAUUAUAACAUGUAGGGUGGUGGAGAAUGACCGAGCUAAGAUCCUGUGGGAAUUCCGGAUACAGACGGACAAAAUGGUGGUGGCUAACCAACCGGACAUAGUCGUGGUAGACAAACUGAAGAAGAUGGCUGUAGUGAUCGAUGUAGCGGUUCCCAACAUCAGCAACAUCAGGAAGAAGGAUAAUGAGAAGCUUGAGAAAUACCAAGGGCUCAGAGAAGAUGUGGAGGGUGAAGGUUCCCACUGGUAAUCGAAACACUAGGUGCAGUGACUCUAAAGCUAGGCGAGUGGCUCCAGCAGAUCCCGGGAACAACAUUGGACAUCUCUGUCCAGAAAAGCGCAGUCCUAGGAACAGCUAAGAUACUGCGCAGGACCCUCAAGCUCCCAGGCCUCUGGUAGAGGACCCGAGGAUAGACCGCCCGCAGGGGCGAGUGGGGAAUUCUAACAAAGAUGCCUUGAUUUUAAAAAAAAUAGAUAACUAACAGACGUUAAAAUAUUUCAAUAUAUUUCAAAUAAAGUCAUAAUUAGAGGGGACGCCCAUGAGAGCACUCAGCCUCACCAAAUUAACAUCUGCCCUGUUGUUGAGAAUAAAACAGACUUUGGGCAGGUAAGCAAACAAAUCUGAACAAAUUUGAACUUUGAUGUUAAACAAGAGCUGAAGUAAAACAGCCUCCACCUACAAACACAUGCAUUAUAAAACAGGUCUAAACGCUCACUGGAGGCUGAUUACAAAAUGAGAGGACUCACACUGCUCUGUUUGGUGGGAUUCAUUCUCACAGCUUCGCUGCAUGAAGGAAGCACAGCACCAGCAAAGAAUAAUUUGUGCCAUGGGUGCUGGAAUAGCUUUGAAGGUACACGUGAUGGAACAGAAUCAGCUGGGGGAAAUGACACACAGAACAAGACCUUGCAUCUUCAUCCAAAUAAUGCUACUCAUGCUGGAAAUGCCACAGAGGUUCAUCACAACAAUACAGCUGCAGCAAAACUGAUAGAAGACCCGUGAUGCUAAAAAUGUGGAAACAUGAAUCUUCACAGAGACAGACGACCGUGAUUCUGCUGGUGUUACUGUCUACUCUGAAUAAACACUAAAAUGAUGUUUUGAGAAAAAGAUUUUCUUAUUUGUUAACAUGUAUCCUAUAGGAUCAUUUAAAAUGUGUUUUUUAAACACAUUUAAGAGCUUAAACGUUCAUGUCCAAACACACAUAAAACACCUAUUCUGACAAAAUGAGUCGGUGCCACACUGACACUCUGCUGUCUUGCUUCUUCAUGAGUAUCAUCACUGUGGUUGAUCUAAAUUCCCAUCUUUUGUCCUUUUGCUGUUUUAAACACCAAAUCCACAAAAACGGUUUGUGACAAACUAACUCGACAUGACAGCACCUGUGUGUUACAGGAGCUGCUCCUGCUUUACAAAUUUACACCAUUAAUACAAAAUAACCUGACUCGCACUGCUGUAUUCUCACAGCAUCACAGAGACACUCAUAUCACUGAUGGAUGUUCACAGAGUUACUGAACAGAAAAAAUUAAAUGCAUAUAUAUUUAGAUUUUUGUAGUUUUAUAAUUUUUGGACCAGAUGGAAACACAAGCUUGACUUAAAUAUAUUUUUUCACCAAGAAUCGGCUGGAGUGUGUCUCAUGCUGCUGAGCCUCUAAGAUUCGAUGAAUAAUUACUUUGCUGUUUUGUUUG
ensembl:lncRNA